rnacentral:misc_RNA from 1 species
UUAAUUUUUAUAGUCUUCUGUUAAUUGAGCAAUAUGAAAGAGAAAGUAUAACAAAAGUCUUAGUAGUUUAAGUCUAUCUUUCCGUACAAACCCUUUAAUGAAUGCUGAAAGGUACCUGUCUUAUUUUUAAUGUUGUUAUUCACAUUUUUGUUGUGAAACAAAUCAUCAAAUAGUCAGCACGAUGCAUUUGCCACAAAAGCAUCCUAGUGCAAAAUAAGUAUAAUAAUAUCACAAUUAUAAAAAUUAGAUGUCGGAUUUUUAUGUAGAUAGACUUUAGCUUAAUUGUUUGUCACUUAAAUCGUUUAAUGUUACUAAUAGAUUGAAUGAACUAUAGGGACAUGCAUGUUAAAAUAGUUAAUUCAAUUACAAAUAUAUUGAAAAUUAGUAUUGUCUGUUUGCUCAUUCAAUUAGUAAUAUUGUUGAUAAGAUACCCAAAAAAAGGAAAAAACAAAUCAUCAAAUAACUUAUUUUAUUAAUUGAAAUUCUUUGCAUAUAAGUACGUAAUUGUUCUUGUUUUCUAUGAAGAGUAAAUCCCAUAACAAAUAGUACAGAAUUUUAAAAUAUAGGGUAGUUAUUUAUUUUAUUUACAAAUUUCUGUUUUUACGAAUAAGCUUAGAAUAUAAGGUUACGGUAGGAGAAGACAACACUUACGAAGUCGUUGAUAUAUAUAGACAACAGUGCAGAAUUGAAUACCUGUUUAUGAGGGCGCCUUAGUAUAUGUCGAUGGUUGUUACGUCAUUUUGUGAGUAAACAACUUCAUUUGACUUUAGUAACGGUCAUUGACAGUUAGUCGCGUUAAUGGUCGAGAUUGAAGCGUGUGGAAAAGUGUUGUGAAAAUAAGUUUUUCGUGUGUUAAGUACCUAUCUACGUAAUAAGUGCUUGUGUCGUUAAGAUAAAAAACCUUCAUGAUGAGAUGUGCUGUGUUUGGUUGCCAUUCUGAUAAUCAGUCCAAGAGAUUUAAAAAGGAUAUAAUGUUCUUUAGCUUUCCCAGUGAUAAAAAGAUUAGUGACAUUUGGAAAAAUCUGUGUCACAGAUCGGAUAACUUCAAUGUGAAAACUUCCCGAAUUUGUUCCAAACAUUUUGUACAGUCUGAUUAUAAUUUGAAACAUCUGUUGGUAUUGUUUAAUGACAAAUCAAAUAAGUUUAGAAGAUUAAAACCUGACAGCAUUCCUUCACAAUUCUUAACAACAAGUGUCGUAACAUCAUCGUCACGAUCAAGAAGGAAACGACAAAGAAUUAAAGCAAAUAGAGAAAUAUUUCAAGAUGUGAUCAAUACUUUUCCUACGGUGCAACGGGUCGUAACUAUCACAAAUGUAUUUGGUAAUCUUGAGAAAAUCGAUCAAAUUAAAGCUUGGAAAAGAGUUUUAAAAAUUAAAAAUGUCAGUUCAUGUACAAGAGUUUGCUCACUUCAUUUUAAAAAAGAUGACUACAUUUUUCCGGAUGUUGCAGUAAAACGCAGAAAACUGAAAAGGAAUGCUGUCCCGUCUAAUAACUUACCUAAUGUCAAAAUAGAUAAUAGUCGCGAAACUCGAAAAAUUAAUCGACGUAAAAAAAUUGAAGAAUUAAUAGAGAAGCAGGAAAAAGAUUUAGUAUCAGAAGAAUUAGAUCAUAACUCAUCAAACGGUGAAAAUUUAUGGAAUGUUCAAGCAGAAGUAGCACCUCUAACGCCAUCAAUGCUAGAUGUUGAAGUAGUAAAUGAUAAAAAAAAAGAACGUCAACAAAGAUACAGAGAGCAGAACAGAGAAAAACUAAAAGAACGUGAAGCGGAAAAGAGAACACUUAAACAAAAUUUACAAAUUAUUACAGAGUCAUCUACAAACAUAAAUAUAAUAGAAUUAAAUAAUGAAAAAACAACAGGUGCUAAUUCUCAAAGUUUAUCUGGUUUGGAAGGAAUACAAGCUUCAUCCCUUCAAGAAAAUGAGCAAACUGUAGAAAAGGAAGCUAUUCAAAAAAGACGAGAACAUCAUCAAAGACACAGAGAACAGAACAGAGAAGAACUGAAGCAGCAUGAAACUGAAAAAAGACAAUGUCAACAAAAUUCAGAAAAAAUUAGUGAAGCAAUAAUAGAUGACCCACUGAUAGAAUCUCCUAACCAAAUAGAAAUAUGCAAGCCAAAAACGGCUGCUGAACGUAUGAAAGCAUACAGAGCUCGUAAAAAAGCUGAAAUGGGAAGCUACUGUAAACAAAUAGAAAUAUACAAACCAAAAACUUUCGUUGAAUGUAUGAAAGCAUAUGGAACUUGUAAAAAAGCUGAAGAGGAAAGCUGCCAUAACCAAAUAGAAAUAUGCAAACCAAAAACGACUGCUGAACGUAGUAGAGCAUAUAGAAUUCGUAAGAAAGCUGAAAAGGAAAGGAACUGUAAACAAACAGAAAUAUGUAAAUCAAAAACGGCAACAUACGGAACUUGUAAUAAAUUUGAAGAGAACGGAUUAUAUAAGAAUUCGAUAAUUUGGUUUUUGUGGUUGCAGCUACCAUAAACAAAUAGAAAUAUGCAAACCAAAAACGGCUGCUGAACGUAGUAGGGCAUACAGAAUUCGUAAAAAAGCUGAAAAGGAAUGCUACUGUAAA